rnacentral:misc_RNA from 1 species
CGAGUAUCGAUGAAGAACGCAGCUAGCUGCGAUAAAUAGUGCGAAUUGCAGACACAUUGAGCACUAAAAAUUCGAACGCACAUUGCGCCAUCGGGUUCAUUCCCGUUGGCACGUCUGGCUGAGGGUUGAAUUAUUGAAAGAGUUGCCAUUUAUGAAUUUUCAACAUUCAUAGAGAAUGGCAUGUAUAUUCGAUAAGCUAUGAUAGUGGACAAAUGAGAAGUACUAUCGUACCUUAUUUAGCUAAUCUAUGAUUCAAUAUCUCGUUGUAAUUUGCUUAAACGAGAUGAGCGAGAGAGAAUAUAUACAUCAAAACGCUCUUAAAAGACGAUUCCAGCGUAUAUUGUGUGAAUGGCAUAGUUGGAAAGAAAGAUGAGCGUGACAAUAAUGAUGUAUAUGAAAAAUUUUUUGACCUCAGCUCAGUCGUGAAUACCCGCUGAACUUAAGCAUAU